rnacentral:rRNA from 1 species
GACGAACGCUGGCGGCGUGCUUAACACAUGCAAGUCGAACGGAAAGGCCCUGCUUUUGUGGGGUGCUCGAGUGGCGAACGGGUGAGUAACACGUGAGUAACCUGCUCUUGACUUUGGGAUAACUUCAGGAAACUGGGGCUAAUACCGGAUAGGAGCUCCUGCUGCAUGGUGGGGGGUGGAAAGUUUCGGCGGUUGGGGAUGGACUCGCGGCUUAUCAGCUUGUUGGUGGGGGAGUGGCUGACCAAGGCUGUGACCGGUAGCCGGCCUGAGAGGGUGACCGGCCACAUUGGGACUGAGAUACGGCCCAGACGCCUACGGGAGGCAGCAGUGGGGAAUAUUGUACAAUGGGCGGAAGCCUGAUGCAGCAACGCCGCGGGCGGGAUGACGGCCUUCGGGUUGUAAACCGCUUUCGCCUGUGACGAAGCGGGAGUGACGGUAAUGGGUAAAGAAGCACCGGCUAACUACGUG